GGCGAGGCAGAGGGAGGCCAAAGAGGUAUUGGGGAGAUGUGAUUAGGCAUGACAUGGCUAGAAUGUGGGUUUCCGAAGACAUGACCCUUGAUAGGAAAGUCUGGAUGUCUAGUAUCAGGGUUGUAGGAUAGGGGCCCCUAGAGUUUUUCGUUCUACUCACCCGGGGUUGGGUGAGGCUUGGCAUGGCUAUCCAUAGAUGAUUUGUGUUUUGGAUUGUGUCUCCCUUAUGGUAGUUAUUUAUGUUAGUUA
rnacentral:lncRNA from 1 species